rnacentral:rRNA from 1 species
GACGUAGGGCGCAAGCGUUGUCCGGAUUUAUUGGGCGUAAAGAGCGUGUAGGCGGCCAUGUAGGUCCGGUGUGAAAACUCGAGGCUUAACCUCGAGAUGUCAUCGGAAACCAUUUGGCUAGAGUCCGGAAGAGGAGAGUGGAAUUCCUGGUGUAGCGGUGAAAUGCGCAGAUAUCAGGAAGAACACCUAUGGCGAAGGCAGCUCUCUGGGACGGUACUGACGCUGAGACGCGAAAGCGUGGGGAGCGAACAGG